UACGUAGGGCGCAAGCGUUAUCCGGAAUUAUUGGGCGUAAAGGGCGCGUAGGCGGCCCGCUAAGUCGAACGUGAAAUCCCCGGGCUUAACCCGGGAACUGCGUCCGAUACUGGCAGGCUUGAAUCCGGGAGAGGGAUGUGGAAUUCCAGGUGUAGCGGUGAAAUGCGUAGAUAUCUGGAGGAACACCGGUGGCGAAGGCGGCAUCCUGGACCGGUAUUGACGCUGAGGCGCGAAAGCUAGGGGAGCAAACGGG
rnacentral:rRNA from 1 species